UCAUCCUUUUGUACAUCACCAAAAUAGUUGAGAUGUAACUAAUCGUACAAUAACUAGACAAACAAAGACAUAUAUGUCAUGUGUACAUCAUUUGUCAAAGUCGCCGUCAGGCGACGCUUUGUAAUCCACGCGCUUUUUUCCAUUCUCUUUGUUAAAAGACAAUUCCCAUUAAGCUGAGUUCCCAAAGUUCAAGACGUUAAAAAAACACGAGAGUUGAGAUUCCUCGUCUUACAACUUUGUUGCGUCACGGCUGCUUCAACAUCCCACGCGCCUCCCUACCCAAAUUCACGCGCCGCUUCUCUGCCUUUUAAUUUCCUCUUUUUCUCGUUUCUUUUAUUUUUCUGUCAUAUGUAAACAAAAGAAAGAUCUGAAGAUCGGACGGUGGAGAUUGAGAGUUGGUGUUUCGAGGCGGCUUAGCUUUUUUGGUCAUUUGAAUGAAAGAGGAAUAUCUGCUGAUGCUAAGAAGGAGAUGGGAGGAGUCACGUCGUCGAUCGCCGCGAAAUUCGCGUUCUUCCCGCCAAAUCCGCCGUCUUACAGAGUGGUAGAAGACGAGUCAUGCGGCGGUCGGCUUUACAUACCGGAGGUACCGAGGAGGGAUGACGUCGACGUCUUGAAGCUUCGCACGCGCCGUGGAAACGACAUCGUCGCUGUCCAUAUAAAGCACCCGAAAGCUUCCGCUACUAUCUUGUAUUCUCAUGGAAAUGCCGCUGAUUUGGGACAAAUGUUUGAGCUUUUCGUCGAGUUGUGUAAUCGCCUUCGAGUCAAUCUUAUGGGGUAUGAUUACUCUGGCUAUGGACAAUCAACUGGGAAGCCAACUGAGUGUAAUACAUAUUCAGACAUAGAUGCAGCAUAUAAGUGCCUUAAGGAACAGUAUGGAGUUAAAGAUGAACAAUUAAUAUUAUAUGGUCAGUCUGUUGGUAGUGGACCCACUGUCGAUCUUGCUUCUCGUUUGCCAAACUUGAGAGGUGUGGUUCUACAUAGCCCAAUUUUGUCUGGCAUGAGAGUGUUGUACCCUGUUAAGAAGACAUACUGGUUUGACAUUUAUAAGAAUAUUGACAAAAUUGGUGCAGUGAACUGUCAAGUUUUGGUAAUUCACGGGACAGCGGAUGAAGUUGUUGAUUGCUCCCAUGGUAAACAGCUUUGGGAGCUUUGCCAGCAUAAGUACGAUCCAUUAUGGGUGAAUGGAGGAGGACAUUGCAAUCUUGAGAUCUAUCCAGAAUUCAUUAGACAUCUGAAGAAAUUUGUACUAUCCCUAAACAAAUCAAAAGCAGCCUCAAACGGUUCUGAAAAAACAGCAGUAAACAAUGACAAUCAAAGCAAACCAUCUGAUCGUGGAACUUCAGAUACUUUUGAAUUGGGUGCUGACCUUCCAGAAGUUUCCAGAAACAGUUUAGAUAGUCGACUUGAGAAGUCUAAGAAGUCAAAUAAGCCUGAGAAGUCUCGAAUGAGUACUGACCGCGUCGAUAGGUUUAGGAGAAAAAAAGGCUUAGUCUGGUGAUUACUUACAGGAAGAGCAUCUUAAAUAAAGCAUGCGCAUCUAUCCACUUGAGGAGGCUUUAGAUUUCUCAAAAACAUUACCUGGCAGGUUGAAAUAUCAAAUGACUCAUGAAAAAAAUCAACUAAUUAGGAAUCCAUUACUGAGCAGUGGCCUUAGUAGUAUUAAAAUUAUGCAUAAAAAAGGGCUGCCUUGAGUAGCCAAAUUUAUGUAUUUCUUAUUGAACGAAACCUUAGGUACAUGGUUAGUGUUUUUUUUUUUUUGCCCUUUGGUACAAAAAAGUUUAGGUGAGGAGAGGUUA